UACGGGGGGAGCAAGCGUUGUUCGGAUUUACUGGGCGUAAAGCGUGUGCAGGCGGCUUUGCAAGUCAGAUGUGAAAUCCCCGGGCUUAACCUGGGAACUGCAUUUGUGACUGCAAGGCUGGAGUGCGGCAGAGGGGGAUGGAAUUCCACGUGUAGCAGUGAAAUGCGUAGAUAUGCGGAGGAACACCAAUGGCGAAGGCAAUCCCCUGGGCCUGUACUGACGCUCAUGCACGAAAGCGUGGGGAGCAAACAGG
rnacentral:rRNA from 1 species